GCCCGGAUGGUCUAGUGGUACGUUCCACUUCAAAAUGCUAUCCUGUGAAUCAAAACUAAUGACAUACAUUAGGUAUGAUUCGCGCUUCGGGUGAACCUGUGCGAGGUCCCGCGUUCAAAUCGCGGUUCGGGCC